UGUGCUUCAUGCUGUAGCUCUUAACCUUUCAGGCACUGGUAGAUGCCUGUGAGAAAGUAAAGGACACAGUCCUUAGAAAAGGGCAUCGUAAAAAAAUGUGGACUGUGUUGGUCAAGGUUUUUAUAUUAAAGGCCCAUCAGCUAAAACCCAUCAUUUAAAGGACAGUAGACAAAGAUGGAACACAUGAGAAGUGAGGUCAGAAGAAUGUCACAGACAUCAAGAGAACAUGUCAUCAAAGAAGGGACAGUCACCACUGCUGAUGGCACAGAGUUCAGGGAUUAAGGACAUUUCUUUCCAACAUUUCCUUGUUAGAUUGAUGAUAAGUUGCUCAUCAGAAGUUUUUUUCCCGACCAAUGCCACAUCAGCCCAACAGAGAGUGGCAGAGUGGCUGCCCCAGAGGUAGGAGAAGCCAGUGUAAAGUUGGAAACAUUGAAUAAUAAAAGGAAGGGAAAACCAUAUGAAUUGAGCAUCCCUUAUCCAAAAUGCUUGGGUCCAGAAGUGUUUUGGAAUUUGGAUUUUUUUUGAGAUUUUGAAUAUUUGCCCAUACAUAUCAUGGAAGUGGGACCCAAGUUUAAAUGCAAAAUUCAUUUUUGUUUCAUAUGUCCUUCAAACACACAGCCUGAAGAUAAUUUCAUAGGAUAUUUUUGGUGUGCCUGUGUUUUUACUACAGCUCAUCACAUGAGAUCAGAUGUGAAUUUUCUGCAUGUAGCAUUAUGUCAGCACUCAAAAAGUUUUGGAUUUUGGAGCAUUUCAGAUUAGGGAUGUUCAACAUGUAAUAGGAGGGAUAUCAGAAUCAAAAGGAUGAUAUUUAGGCACUAGAUGAUCGAAUGUUUUUUACCUGUCCUUGGCACCAUUUCAGGAUGGAGCAAAAGAAUUCACCUGAGGGAUUGAAAUGUAGACAUGGAUGUUGAAAUGGAUGAUUAAAGGAGGAAAGUCCAUGAGUGGCAGGAAUUAAGGGGACAAGGGAAAUGCACCUUAGGAAGAAGAUGACAUCUUUGUUGCUUAUUGAACAUCUUCUUUGUGUCCAACUUCAUGAUGAAAGUUAUGAUUUGAGCCUGUAAAAAUGCCCAUUGUUAGUGAGAGGUGACAAAUGUAGAUGAUCUGUAAAGGACCACCUGGGGAGAAAGCCUGUGAGGCGCACAAAAGAACAGACACAGACUGAGAGUAUAAGGAGGUGGAGCAGAGAGGAGUGAAGUGAAGAAGCAAAGAAAGAGAAGUGUAGAAUGAAGUAUCGGCUCCUCCCUCCUGCCGAGUUUAUUAACUCAAAAAAGGUUACAUAUUACCCAUCACACCUGACUACACUCUAACCAGAGUGCUAGCUAACGGAGAUAAGGUCCAGCUUAAUACAAACACAGAGCCUCUCACAUCCAAGGACGUUACUAUGGAAACCAGGUAGUGCAUCCACAUAGUUAUCUUAACAGCCUCAGGGGGUUACUGCUGGGCAUUCUAAU
rnacentral:lncRNA from 1 species